AAUGCGCGCUAAAAUACGAGCACCUACACGUAUAAUACGGUUAAAUUACGUACUUAAUUAUACUACACGCUAUUAUAAACAAAACGUAAUUGAUUACAUUAUCACAACUAUAACUUAGUUGCAGUUACACGCGAAUCGUAGCAUAUAUUAUUUAUUGUUCCGUUUAAGCCGACGUGCGUCUAAUCUAUAGGUCAAUAAUACUCAAUAAUAAAUUAUCGUCACGUAAGAAAAUCGUAUAUGCCGUGU